AACGACUCUCGACAACGGAUAUCCCGGCUCUCGCAUCGAUGAAGAACGUAGCGAAAUGCGAUACUUGGUGUGAAUUGCAGAAUCCCGUGAACCAUCGAGUCUUUGAACGCAAGUUGCGCCCGAAGCCACUAGGCUGAGGGCACGUCUGCCUGGGUGUCACGCA
rnacentral:rRNA from 1 species